rnacentral:misc_RNA from 1 species
UUUCCGUAGGUGAACCUGCGGAAGGAUCAUUACCGAACCGUUGACACGAGUUGUUGCUGGCCCCUCAAACGGGGGCAUGUGCACGCUCUGUUUACAUAUCCACUCACACCUGUGCACCUCUGUAGUUCUGUGGCAUAAGGGACCCAUGUUCCUCCGCCGCGGUUCUACGUCUUUAUACACACCCUGUAGUGAAGUCUUAUGGAAUGUUUGCCGCGUUUAACGCAAUGAAAUACAACUUUCAGCAACGGAUCUCUUGGCUCUC